rnacentral:rRNA from 1 species
AACGCUUCUUUUUCCACCGGAGCUUGCUCCACCGGAAAAAGAGGAGUGGCGAACGGGUGAGUAACACGUGGGUAACCUGCCCAUCAGAAGGGGAUAACACUUGGAAACAGGUGCUAAUACCGUAUAACAAUCGAAACCGCAUGGUUUUGAUUUGAAAGGCGCUUUCGGGUGUCGCUGAUGGAUGGACCCGCGGUGCAUUAGCUAGUUGGUGAGGUAACGGCUCACCAAGGCCACGAUGCAUAGCCGACCUGAGAGGGUGAUCGGCCACAUUGGGACUGAGACACGGCCCAAACUCCUACGGGAGGCAGCAGUAGGGAAUCUUCGGCAAUGGACGAAAGUCUGACCGAGCAACGCCGCGUGAGUGAAGAAGGUUUUCGGAUCGUAAAACUCUGUUGUUAGAGAAGAACAAGGAUGAGAGUAACUGUUCAUCCCUUGACGGUAUCUAACCAGAAAGCCACGGCUAACUACGUGCCAGCAGCCGCGGUAAUACGUAGGUGGCAAGCGUUGUCCGGAUUUAUUGGGCGUAAAGCGAGCGCAGGCGGUUUCUUAAGUCUGAUGUGAAAGCCCCCGGCUCAACCGGGGAGGGUCAUUGGAAACUGGGAGACUUGAGUGCAGAAGAGGAGAGUGGAAUUCCAUGUGUAGCGGUGAAAUGCGUAGAUAUAUGGAGGAACACCAGUGGCGAAGGCGGCUCUCUGGUCUGUAA